GAUCGGUGUUGUCACUCCUCACGGCUCCACAGGACACUUCUCACAUGUUGACAAACGUGUAAAUUCACCUCUAGCCAUUGCAUACUGCAUCCAGCUAAAUAGUAUUAAGAUUAAAAUCUCAAGGGUAACUUUUGUGUGCACGUCUAUCACACCUGCCAAGGUUAGUCCACACAAAGCAGUUAUGUUUGUAGUGCUACAUGACCUGCGUGUAUUGUUUGAAGGUGAUGUCUGAGCAGUGAGAUUUCUGCACUCGAAGAGGCUGCUCUUCUGACUCACACCUCCUUUAUGUACGCUCUGGCACCUGCAUGGGAAACUGAAGUAAAGGGUGCUCAGCGAAAACCCCGCUGCAUUGUCUGUUUGUUCUGUUUUUAGGGUUAGUAUUUAAAAAGAGACAACAAGGAUGAUAACAAGACAAGUUAAGCAACAACCCUGGUUUUUCACGAGUUUAACAAUGUACAGUCAGUGAAAUGUUUCUGCUCACCAGCUUAUUAAAAGCCAAAAGUUGUAAUUUCAUUGCCUUAUUAAAGAAUAUUUUACCUUUAUUCUAAUGUGUAAUGUUGUUUAGUUAUUGUUGUAAAUUGG